AUUGAACGCUGGCGGCAGGCUUAACACAUGCAAGUCGAGCGGGGUGAUGGUGCUUGCACUAUCACUUAGCGGCGGACGGGUGAGUAAUGCUUAGGAAUCUGCCUAUUAGUGGGGGACAACAUCUCGAAAGGGAUGCUAAUACCGCAUACGUCCUACGGGAGAAAGCAGGGGAUCACUUGCGACCUUGCGCUAAUAGAUGAGCCUAAGUCGGAUUAGCUAGUUGGUGGGGUAAAGGCCUACCAAGGCGACGAUCUGUAGCGGGUCUGGGAGGACGAUCCGCCACACUGGGACUGAGACACGGCCCAGACUCCUACGGGAGGCAGCAGUGGGGAAUAUUGGACAAUGGGGGGAACCCUGAUCCAGCCAUGCCGCGUGUGUGAAGAAGGCCUUAUGGUUGUAAAGCACUUUAAGCGAGGAGGAGACUCUUUUGGUUAAUACCCAAGAUGAGUGGACGUUACUCGCAGAAUAAGCACCGGCUAACUCUGUGCCAGCCGCCGCCGUAA
rnacentral:rRNA from 1 species